ACAUGAAAAUACAGAAGCCCCCGCGCCCGCCCGCCCGCGCAUGCAUUCCAGCACCCGUCACCUCGGAGGCGGCAGGACGCGGGCUCUGGACCCAGCUCUGCGGCAGCCGCUGCCCAGAACACCCUGUCGUCCCCCACAAGCCUCCCUUGUCCCGCGCUCCCGAUUCCCCUUUCAGGAAUUUACAAACAUUUUCCGCAGAUCAAUAUCUGUAUUGAUUAUUCAUUGUGUGCGAGUCGUGUGUCUUUGGUGAUCCAACCUGGCAGAGUGAGCAGCCAAAGGCUGCUGCAGUUGCACACAAAAAAAUCCACAGAAGGCGAGAGGGACCCAGACCUCACCGGGCUUACCGCUGCCAGCCACGGAGACGGAUGGAGAGGAAGGAAGAAAGAAAAUGGGGAAGGCGGAAGGAGGAAUGAGGGGACGAGGGAGCCGAGGAGAGAAAGCAAGAGCAGGAAAACAAAGUCACCGCUGGAGAACUGGUGCCGGGGCAUGCUGGCAGCCUGGAGAAAUUUCCAGCCUUGCGCUCGCCGUUCUGCACGCAGAUGUGGUGGACUUAUUGCUCUGGGAGCGAAAAGUGACUCACAGUUUUGGUAUCUGCUACGUAAGAGCAUUGGGGGGAUUCCUUGGCUGGCUGACAGAAAAGGAAGAAAGCAGCAGCAGAGGUAAAAAAACGAUUCCUUCCUCCUGCCUUCCUGGGAACGCGGCUCAUCCAGGCUGGCUGGAGCAGCUCCCUGCUCUCUUAUGAUAUGCAAAAGGAGAAUAAUUAAAAGCGCCAGCAUCACUUGCAAAGUGAGUAAACACAAAGCCUUUCAAAACAUGCUCUUCAGCUAAUGAGAAGCUGUAAUUUCUUAUACUUAAAGGCAGAAAAGACACUGAUGAGACUCAGUGGAGUGUGUGUGCAUGCGCGCCUGCCUGUGUGUGCAUGUGUUUGUAGAUACGAGAAAAUCGGUUAAUUGUUGAUGAUGUUUAGAAAAGGGAUUAUGAGAAAAGACACUGAAAUGAUGACAGGAAACAUCUUGGAUCAGAGCCAAAGAAAUAAAAUAAUCAAGGACAAUCAAGCCUGCAGCUUUGGAAAGCGCCGACUGCUCUGCCGGGGACUUGGAAGGAAUUUCCCUGUGCUGCUGAGCUGCAGCUGGAAUACGUGCUUGGCACCAGGAGGGAGAACUGCAAGAAGCAGUUUGCUUAGAGCAUGAAACAACAGAAGGCAGACCUAUGGAGCUGUGCUAUAAUUCAGAGGUUAAACAGCUUUGUCUGCUUCUGUGUCGGAUGGAGACUCAUUUUUACCCACAUCUGACCUGGUCUCUGAAAAUGCAACUUCCGAAGCCCUCUGAAUGCAAGCAGAAGCUGAUGAUUCUCCACAUGCCUUUCCAGAACUGCUGUGACAUUACAAACACAAAGAAAAGGGAGCUCGAGGAAUUAAGUUCUCUUGUGGCUGCAGGAUCUGCUGGACCUUACCACGAGAACUGACUCUGGAAACAAUUCCUUCCUUAAUUCUGGAAAUUGGAAACCACUGACGCCAGGUGGGGGAUUGCAACUCCCUGCCUCCGAGCUCACGGGAAAAAGCAACAAUCAUCUGCAAUAACACGAGCAAGCUUGACUUUCCACCUGGGCAUCUGAUGGCUGCCCUGAACGAAUGGAUUGUAAUGUUUUCUUUCUCCUGGGCUGAGGUUGGGUGGGGAGAGAGGACAGAGGGAAUUUUAAGCCUCCUUGUGCCUGUUACGUUGUAUGUGAGCUACAAAAAUGCCACCCCUUUGCUUUGGAUGAUAAACUUCGUCUUGCUUUGUUGUUCCUGAAUUCUGGCGCAUUACGUUCUGGGCUUCUCCAGCAGCAGAAACACAUGGUCUAUUAAAGUGGGAAUCUUUGGGGACAAGGAGGCAGAGGAAUGAGCCAAUCAUACAUGACUUUUCCACAUUUCCUAUUUUUCAGCAUCUGCAGGAAGCUUUUCGGAUGGCAAUCAGCAAAUGGCCAUCUCCUCGCUACCACCGCUGCGGUGGAGCCUGCCAGAUCCGUAACGGCGUCCUUUGUCAGAUCGCCUGCUACGUCUGCGUUUGCCUUUUGUUUUCCAAUCACACUCCAGACAUUCAUGAACAAGAAUGAAAGGCAGAGAUGUAAAACCUAUACUGAAAACAAACGAUACGUUUAAGCGGUGUUCGGGCUGGAAGGUGGGUCUGGAGGCACCGGGGCCAGGACAGACCACGAUCCUGCAGGACGCCCGGAAACACGCGGCGUCCGCUCCAGCUCCAGAGCUCACGUGAGAGCUCCGAGCCGACGGGCUGCGACAGGAUGCUGCAGCCUCGGCUGUGCGGACACUCACAGAGAUGCCAGUAAUUGGCCAGAAGAGAAGCACUAAUUGUUCCUGCUCUGGCUGCUGUUAAUGUUAUAAUUACCACUAUCGCUACUAAUGUACUUUAAUUAGAAAGAAAAAAAAAGCCUCAGUGCCUGUAAGCAUAAACUUCUAAGAUCCUUCGAGUCCCCUUCCAGCGUCCCUCACCGCUGUGGGCAGGGCUGGCCGAGCUGCGGGGCCGUGGGUGCGGGAUGGGGCAGUGGGUGCUCACACGGCUUCCCCUGGCACGGCGCUGGUCACACAAACAGCUGUACAGACACUGAGCCAUCACACGGCUCUGGAGAAUAAAGUGAUUUAACCCAA